rnacentral:rRNA from 1 species
UACGGGGGGGGCAAGCGUUGUUCGGAAUUACUGGGCGUAAAGGGCUCGUAGGCGGCCAACUAAGUCGGACGUGAAAUCCCUCGGCUUAACCGGGGAACUGCGUCCGAUACUGGAUGGCUUGAGUUCGGGAGAGGGAUGCGGAAUUCCAGGUGUAGCGGUGAAAUGCGUAGAUAUCUGGAAGAACAUCGGUGGCGAAGGCGGUCUGCUGGGCCGUUGCUGACGCUGAGGCGCGACAGCGUGGGGAGCAAACAGG